AGAGCCAUCCGCGGGCUGGCUCAGGUGGGUUGGAGUCUGUCUUUGCUGUCCGCUGUGUUCUGCAGCCCUCCUCCUGGUACCGUUGGGCGUAAGGGGCAAGGAGCAGGGUGCGGUCGGUCGCUCUGGCUGGCACAGUUCUCAGCCCUUCUGCUUGGGGCUGAGAGCAGAUUGGUCCACAGCAGGCCGGAGGUCAGAUCCUCCGCCCUUUUUCCUGCUGGCCUAGGGCAGCUUCUUCACAAACCAGCUGUGACGUGAGCAGAGUCCGUAGCCCUGGAGCAGAUUCCUCCACCUUGU